rnacentral:lncRNA from 12 species
AUGGCCCUGUUCAUCUUCAUAAUCUUUCAUCUUGUACUGGAGGAUAAAUCGCAAGGUUUGCCUCAGGCCAAGCUGACAAUAUUUCCAACAUUUGCUACUGAUGAAGAAAAGGUGCAGAUGGUCUGUGGAGGUCAUGAGAAUCAGCAUAUAUCUGAGUGCAUGUUUUACCCUGCAGGACAGGAGAACUUUUUAAAACCAAGUGCAUCGUGUAACUUUUCCCUUACUGGUGCCAACCUGAUCAUAUGGUCACAAGAUCAGGAGAGUUCACAUGUUAAUAUAUCCUGCUACUAUACUGUGCAUGCCUUAGGAGAAAAUGGAACAUCACCUCAUUCCAACAUAGUCUCAGUCAGGGUCAGAGGUUUAGCCAGCAUGUCGUCUUUGCCACCAACCACAGAGGACAGCCCAACUACAAUGACCCCCAAUGGAGGAACCUUUCAAGCGAAUUUGUCCACUGUGUCAACAUCGAACACAACAACAUCUUUGGCUGUAACAUCCAGUACUGAAAUCAUAACAGAUUCAUUAACCGAUAUGUCCAGUCUAAGUACCCAUGACAACCAUAGUUUAAUAGAUCCUGCAAAUGAUGAGACCUCAUCUCCGGCUCAUUUCAUCUCAGCAUCCUUGGACUCGAGUACGCUGACUCAUACUACAGAACAUGCAUCAAUUUUCCGCUUGAUGACUGAAGGUCCUAAAAUCAAAAAGUACUCAAAAACAAAAAUGUUUUUCUUGAUUGCUGUGGUUGCAAGUGGUGGAGGAAUUGUACUGACUGGACUCAUAAGCAUCUGUUUGUACAGAUGUACACGGAAGUCAAAGGCAGAGAGGAUUUGGAGCGAAUUCAUCAGCCAAAAACAGGGACUUUCUUUAGCAACAGCCAGUUCAGACACAACUGGAGAGGAAGUUGCAGCAAUUUAUUCAACCAUCAACGACAUGCAACCCCCUUCACAACCACCAGGAAAGAGUGAAGAAUCAAUGACAACUGAGGUUGAACUGAAUCAUUUGUAUUCCACCAUCCUCACCAAACCGGCCAUCUCCAGUGACAGCAGGGGUGUUUACAGUCAGCCAAAGGUCCGCUGA